rnacentral:miRNA from 14 species
UGUGUGUGUGUGUGUGUGUGUGUGUGUGUGAGGGAGAGAGUGUGUGUGUGUCGUCAUACUCCUGCUGACAAUAGAGGUUUCGUCUCCGUUCAUCUGACUGAUAACACACUUGUGCUGUCAACUGGAGACUGACUCUAUCCUCACACACACACACACACACACACACACACA